CUCUUCCCUAUAUGGAACUUUCUAGUACACAGCAGUGAUGGAAGCACGGGGUCCGGAGGACUGGGGAGGCCACAUCUCCUCUGUGAAAGUUCUCUUCAAGAUGGAUUUUCUAAUUCAAUCAAAUACAAUUAGAAAAGUUUGUGUGUGUGGGGGCGGGGGGAUACAUUUGUGGCAGUGAACAAGAUCUAGCCAAAACCAUAGAACUCAGUAAAUUAUUGGAAAUCCAAAAUAAAAUAAGUGAAAAUAUUUAAGCUUGCAAAACCUUAUCACUGCUUCUAUUAAUUGUCACUUCACUUUUAACGUAGUUUUCAAGACUGGAUACUAGACUAACACCAUAUACUUUAUGCUUGUUUUAUGUAACUGUACAUUAGGUUUUCUCACAAAAAAUCACAUAGUUCAUGUACUUUAUACUCUUUGGAAUUCUGUGCAAUCUUACCCCUCCCCCAAAUGCUAGAAAUCGCAUUUCAGGGACUUUAGAUUUCUACAGUCCCCCAGACUCCCCUAAUAUGUCUCUCGUCUUCCGCAAUUGACAAUACCCCAAUUUUACUAUGCUGGGACUGCCACUGGUGCACAAGCGAUAAAUCCCAUACACUUUUCAGACAUUUUCAGCUGCACCUUCACACUUUCAAGACAGCUUCACUUAUCCCCCACACUUUUGUAAUAUGCAAAAAUGGUUACCAAAAGUUUGAUAUUGCCCAUAUAUUUUACAAACUUUCCAACAUGGGCAUGAAGUUUAUAUGGAAUGCAUCAUAAAUAAAUUAAUAAAAAAGCUAUUUUAUUUCCUGCUAUUUUAUUUCCUGCAUUUGAAGGGUUACGCUUCAAAUGCUGCAGCACUUAAUUAAACAAGUAAUUUAAUACAGUAUUUCAUAUUUUACCAAAGAAUAAUUACAGGCCACAAAUCGAUAAAUUGCUGUCGGGUGCAAUGGCCAAUAGCUAAUUUUGUGAACACUGACAGUUUG